rnacentral:lncRNA from 1 species
ACACAAAGCCCAACAAAAAUACCAACAAAAAUACGGUACUGUUCAUGUAUACCUUUAUUUUUUUAUUUUUAUCUCUCUCUCUCUCUCGCUAUCUUUUCCUCUUAACACAGCUAUCCUCAAUCUCCAUUCUUCCAAAUCUCACUACCGCCGGUACUUUUCUUUGUCGUCUCAUCUCUUGUGUUUUGNNNNNNNNNNNNNNNNNGCAUGAUUGCGAUGAACAUCACCAACACGGCGUUCCUCAACAAUUAUGCUUCGUUUCUCACCCCCUUGUAUUUCAAAAUUUCCAACGAGCUUUUGGCCACUCUCAAAGAUGGUAUGUUCUUCUUUUUUCUUCUUUACCUUCUCGUCACUUUAUGGUUUCUUUCUAAUUCUUUACUACCAAAUACAUUUUUAUUCUAUUCUCUUAUUAGGUUUUAGUUACUUGCUAUGAUAAUUAUAAAGAAUAUUUUUAAGUGGAUGAUUAUAUAAAAUGAUAAGAUAACUUCAUUUUUUUUCUUUGUGAAAUGACCCCUAAUUUCAAACCCUAAUUUUUUUAAUUUGUUGUUCUAUGGGAUGGAAUUUAUUUUUAUAAGUUAUAUGGGAUUAAUUUUGUGUUACCUCAUCUUCUGGAAGUUAAAAUAUAAAAGGAAUGGCUAAAUUAUAAAUUGCAAAUAUCUAAAACAAUUGAAGUGAAAUUAAGGUUUAUUUUAUAAGUGACACCGUCACAAUAAAAUUAUAAUCUUCUAGGGAAGUAAAUUUUGAUGAGGGUGAGCUCACAGAGAAAGGUUAAUCAUUGGAGGGUAUGUUAUUUGAAUGGUAUAUUGUACUUAUGUUGUAGUAGUGGAGUAGGAGAUACAAUAUUGUGAGGUUUACUGCAGGUGCUGCUAUGUGUUUCUUCGGAUAAGUGGAUUCAGUGAUUUGUUUUUGUUGUGUGAAAUUCGCAGCCUUAGUUAUUAGCAAUGCGAUUUUAUAAGAUUACAAGUUGUUGUCAACGUGCAUGUGUUUAUCCUUCUCCAUUGUAGUCGCUGAAUCAAUCGAUAUUUUGGUUGGGAGAGUUAUAAGAUGUUUGAUGAAUCAUUGGUUGUCCAAGAAAGUUUACUUUGUGGGAUUUUGUGGAGCCUGUUGUCCGGUGCUUUGUGCAUUUGGCAUGGAUUCCUAAAAUGUCAUUUUAGUUAUAUUAGUGCUAGGUUUUGUAUUUUGCAGGUUGUCGAUUUAGUUUUGGUUGUUGGAAUGAGUCUUGGCAAUUGUAUUAGCUCAUUGUUUUAGUAUUGUCUUGCUUGGUGUGGUUUACAAUUUAUUAGUAGUGGUAUGGGAAAUAUGAUUUAAAUUCCCUGAAGUACUAUAGGGGUUAUUAUUGAAAAUUAUUCAUUGUAAGGUGAGUUAUAUGUUUAUGCCUACUUGAAAGCUUUGUGUAUUGCUUUGGUGUAAAAUUGAACUUCUUGAAUGUCAAUUCUAACGUGUUCAGUUGAGUUGUUUGGUGUUUCAAGUUUGUUUUGUUUAAUUCAGGAAAAUGUCAAAACCAAGCACCCUCAAUUGUUGACGAACAAAGGUUUCACAACUCAAAGGCAAAUAGGCAUUGAUACUACUAUGAAGAAUUUGAAGUUUUCUCAUUGGCAAAGGAUAAAUACAAGACUAUGGGAUUUGGACUAUUUGGAAGGAUAGAAAUGGUAUAGUUUUUGCUAAUGGAGUGAAGGACCUUUAGCAAACGAGUGCUUUUUAAUGUUGCUGCUGUGUUUCUUUUGCUGGUGCAGCUGGUGCUUGCAAUGUGGAUGUUGGCUACAUUUCAGGGUGUUUGGAAGUUGUUCAUUAGCUUUGCUUUUGUUGAGAACUGCAUGUAUCUGUUGGCCUUCUUGUGCGCUUCAGGGCUUGCAAGGUUAUUUUUUGGUUCUGUGCUUAGUGGUAUGUUGACUGCGUGUCUCGUCAGUUGUGUGGGAUGCUUUUUGUUUUGGUUGAAGCCAUUUUAGAGUUUCUUUCUUAGUAUUUUGGUUUGUGCUAAUUUUUGUAACAGGGAGGGGUUUUAGUGGCUUUGUAGUUUAAUGNNN